rnacentral:lncRNA from 1 species
GCAUUUUUCGCCGUCGGAGGACUUCCGGACCUCCGAUUUCAAUUCCGUAAAAAGCUACACGUCCAGAAAUUUACGACUCACCCACAUAUAGAUUCAAUUACAGUUUUAACAUAACUUAUUCAUCACAAUUUGCAACAUUCAUCAUCCCAAUUAGGGUCAAUUCAAUGGCUUAUUACUACCCAUUACAUGUUAACCCAUAAUACCCAUUAAAC